ACAGUAAAAACGCUGUACAAAAUAUCGCUGUAUAAGAGGUGCUGUAUAAUUUUUUGAACAGCACAUGUUUAAGCUUUGAUAAAUAUCGGUAUAAAACACGGCGAAUUGACCUGUUUAAGGUCCGUAGACAGAAGGCUUGAACAGGGGGUUGUACAAGAUACCGGCACAUGUAAAGCGCAUGCGUACGCGUGCGCAGUGCUAUGCUAGUGGUCGGAAGAUGGCGUUGAGUAUGUUCGACUCGGAGACUGCUGCUGCAGUGCACUGGAAAAAUCGUGUUUAAUCUCCGUUUUAGAAAAUGAAAGAUUUGGGGGUGACAAACCUGCUUCAGGAGUGGGACCUUCCACAUUUAGUUCCAAUCUUUAGAGUUAAAUGUUGCAGAAGAUGAGCACGAAGAAGACACCUACUGGAUGCAAUAUUACUCAUCACCUGACAACAUUGUUGUUAAUGUGACGAACCACGGUACCUAGAUAUGAGUUGACUAGAGGAAACCCGCGACCAAGCACAGCAGAAAUUCUUGACAAAUAUCUACAGCUUUUGGGAAUGAUUGAUCAAGACUUUGAUUUAACAAUUGAUGCAGCUCCUGGUGCCCUUUUCACAAUGUGGCCAAAGUUGUCCAGGCAGACUUUGGAAUUUGCGGAGAAGAUUAAUCCAGGGUAUAGAAAGAUCCUAGGGGCUGGAGUGGACCAGAAAAUGACGCAGAGUCAACAAUGAAGAAAAUUUGGCUUUCAGUACUUCCUGGGAUUUUGAUCGGCAGAACGAAAGGGGAAUGAGGCAAAUUAAUGUGCCGUACUUCAAAGUCUUGAAUCUUUCAUCAAUCUCCAAUUAGUAAGUAUUGAUUAUCAUCUUACUUUUUCAAAGUUUUUAUUUAUUUAUUUAUAUAUUUAUUUUUUGGCCAAUUUAGGUUAAAGCUCUGAUUUUCCUGAACAAUAUUAGAACGUUACUGUUGGCAAUCUUUGAGAGCACUUAGGUUUGACUGUAGCGCAUGCUCACUUGACCAAGGCAAGUGAAAAUAUCAAAGUGCUUAAGUUGCUUACCCAAAAA